AAUAUCGAUUAGUUAUCCACACUCUGUCAUCAACGAAGAUACAGACGCCAUUUAACUGUUACUGAUUAUUUCGAAAAUUAUCGCCUUUGUUUUACUUUGUCAACGGAAAACGAUCGAAAAACGUGCUUGGAAUAAUUUUGGAAUCAAUUAGUGGAUCAUCGGUUGAGACUUUACUGCGAAAUGUUCUUGUUGGGCCACCAAACGGAAGAAUUUCAUGGCCUCAUCAAGGUUGAGUUGGUCACGAUGAAUGCAAUCCCAGCGGAUGAGGAACUCACUCCAUUUCCUGCCCUUUUGGUUGUAACCAGUCAUAAAGUUUACUUUCUUCGGAUUACAGGAUCACCCAGCAGUGAGCAGCCAGAAAAGUGGCUCAAUUUGGAAACAAGUUACCCGCUUAAUCAACUAGUUAACAUGUUGAUCGUCAUCGGUAACCAAGGUGUAGUUCGCUCAAGUUCGGAACGAGUUGGUCUCACCUCAUUUUGCUUCGUGAUCAAAGACGAACCAAGAAUGUGACUCACUUUCUCACUGAUAUUAUUGAGAAAUCCGGAUUGACUGUUCCACCCUUACGGACGGAUCUCAUGGCGGAUCAAUGACUGGCAUUGGAUGGACUCGUCAGAGGAGAUCAGUCUGACAGUGUUUCGACGGGAUCUGCGGAUGAUGGUGAAACGGACCGUGUUGUAGGAUCUACGAGGACGAGUACCCGAUUCAUGCCGGAUAGCAAUUCUCGCGUCUUCCUCUUUUGUGUAAACUGCCGGGUCGAAUGGGGCAAUAGUAAGCAGCAACAAAAUCACCAGCAAACGGCCAGUUAUAGCAACACAGCCUUGAUGGUCACAAGUGAUCGUAUGGCAUUAGUACGUGGUGAUCCUCGUUGGCUGAUGAGCCAUCAAGUUCAGUUUCGAACGUGGGGGGUAUCACUUCUCAGCCUUCAGCAACUUGUUCAUCUCGUCUCUUUGGAAAGCUUUGUGAGCAAACCGGAACAAAUCCGGUGUUAUUUUCUCGCUGAAGCAUCGGGUAUGGAAGAGAAAUGGACUGUUUCUUUGGCUACCAGAGAGGCGGUUGAUCAACUGAUUGAAGCUGUACGAUAUCCUUGGGAAGCCGUCUUCUCCGUUGAGUUGGAAAUCAACGAGCUCGACGAAUAACAUCAUGUAAUAUCCCCCUCUCAAUUAGACUUAUUGUUUUUCUUUAUUGUUACUUUGCUGUACACGAAUUAUGUGCGAAGUGCGAUUAUUUUGUUUCAAACGUGAGCCUUUUCAACUUCUAAUUCAUUACACGAUGUGCAUUCAGAUAAUAGGCAAUUGAUAACAAAACUAUUAUUCACGUAUUUUUUUAUUAUUACUGCUUUAAAACACAAAUUCACUUAGCAUGUUUCCAGAAGGGUGACUUUGUAUGUAGAUGAUCUCCAAAUAAUUCAGAAUAAUUUUCUAAUACAAUCGCACUGUAUAUUUUUCUAAUAUACAUAAAUACAUGUGAAGAAAUUCAA